CACCGAAAUUUGGAGGCAUUUUGGCAGAUGCUCGACCACCAGCCAGAAUGCGGGCGCAUUUAGAUGCCCCCGUGCCCGCGGGCACCGCGUUGGGGACCACUGAUAGAUAGAUAUCUAAUGCGCAAUAAGUCAUGGCAAUCAUUAAGUAAAUAGCGAUAGAAAGGAUUUCUAUCUCUGUACAGAAACUGUUUUUUUAUUUUUAAAAAAAAAGGGAAAGAAAAGCUCAUUUAUACAGUCCACUAAUGUACUCUCUCAAAGUUUCAGAUACUUCAUCAAACGAUUAACGAGCAACUCCCCAUCUGAUUGGAAGAAUAAAAUUCUUCAGCAUAAUAAACAAAAAGUGAUGGCCACAACUGCAGACCACUUAUCUUAAAGAAAGCGUGGAGGACUACUGCAUAUACUGCAACCUUGUCAGUUGUGAAAAGGAAAGUGAGGAUUGCACGAUGGUCCAGUGUGAUUCUUGCAAGAGGUGGGUACAUAUGCCCUGCAUUCCAGAAGGAACAAAUCAUGAAAUCCUCACUGAUGAGGAAGAAGAAUACGAGUGCAAAAAAGUGCAUAGUUCAGUUCUUUAUCAGAAAAAUGACAUUAUCUGUAAAUAGUUGUUGUUAAAAAUGGCUUUGAACAAAAAGCUAACCUUUUAUUUAUAUACCGGAUUACAAUAAAGUUUUUAAAAUUGGAAAAACA